GGUUAUUUGUAAGUGUCUUGGAGAAAAUGGUGAUCAUGGUGUCCGGGGAAAUCCUGGAAGGAAGGGAAGUACAGGUUACAGAGGAUCUCCUGGCCAUCCUGGUGAGGAAGGUGGGAUUGGGGAGAGAGGCCCAGCUGGUUUCAGUGGGACUCAAGGAGACAGGGGAUGUCCAGGUGUCAGAGGCCAUAAGG